CGGGACACACCCGUGUUUGUGUAUCCUUCAGCUGGAGCUUUUAUUUUGAUGGACUAGAGCCCCAGGAGUGGGAUUGCUCCGUUGAAGGGCUGCCUCGUCCACCUGCCAGCCAUCGGGAGCAGUCCCAGGCCCCAAGGAGAAGCAGGAGGAGCCUCUCGUACCCCAGCCCGCUGGUCCCAGAAGAGCCUCUCCUGUCACCGUCCCACGUCUCCUCCUCACAGCUUCCCUCUGCAGAGUCAGCCCCAGGAUGCUAUGAGAGAGGUACUCACCAGGGCACAGGCUGCCAACAUCCAGCCCCGACUCCUUCAGUCCACCGCAGAGGUCCCCCGAGGACGGUCCUCCUACUUCUCCCAGCUUCCUGUGCGGCCCUGCCGCCUGCAAGGGGCCUACUUCCCAGGUUUCCCUUGCGGGCCACGUGACACGAGAUCAGCACUGCUGGCGCCUAGAGAAAUGCCUGACAUACUGUAGGUCCUCGGGAACCACUGUCCAAAAGGAUGACUCAGCAGGAAGACUGCUGGCUACUGUGAGCUCACGUAGAGAAAUGACCAGAAGAGGAAGGGGCUGGACAGGGCCUGACGGGGUGAUGCCAUGUGCCCCCACCGAUGCCUUUCACCGGUUAGCUUACUUCUCAUGGUGGCCUCAAGGGUAGCCAUCACCCUUCGCAGACGGAAAGACCUCCAUCUGCUCCAGGCCAGGCCAAGCUUGGGGGGGGGGGCGGUGAGGCCCGAAGGGGCAGCGGCUGUGCACAGGGCUCUGGUGUCCGUGAUCCUGGCUCUGCCACCCCUUAGCUCAGUUACUGGAUUCUCUGACUCCGGUCCCUCAUUUGUAGAAGCAGAU